rnacentral:lncRNA from 1 species
UUUAAAGCCUGGGUGAAAUGGGGCAGAAAGAGCCCAGAAUAUACAGGCUAGAGAAACUCAGGAACUACUGACCCACAGGGAAGGCAAGCGGAGAUAUGAGACGGAGGAAUCAAACGCUGCCCUGGUGGAGGACGCUGUGGGUUUACAGUGGAUGAUUUCCUCUGCCUAUGAGAUAAAAGGGCUGGCUCUGUACUUUGAACCCCAGCCUCACCCACCUCUGCCUGGGUGUGGCUCUUACUCUCUGGAAGACUUACUCAGGGGAGAGGACAGGACAGUGUGAGGCUUGAAUCUCCAGGAAAUAGAGUCUGUGGGCAGCCAUUGACUCCGAGUCAAUGAGAACAAGGUGUGCUGUUUCCUCUGUGCUGUUUCUUCCCUGCCCCACUCCCCGCCCCUUUGUCCUAUGGUGCCCAGGCUGC